UAUACAAGAAGUCAAACAAUGUGUAAGUGC
rnacentral:piRNA from 1 species